CGCGCCGCCUCCUUGUGACGUAUUAUUAAGCGGACAGAGAGGAGGGCGGUUUGAAAACAAACCGAAUUACCGGAUAAACACCGGAACACCGCGUUCACCGGGAGGCCGCGACGGCGUCAGAGCGCGUCAGAGCGCGCGGAGACUCCCGGUUGAGGUUUAUUCCCGCCGUUUUCACCCAUUUUAACAAACUAACGUUAACUAGCUCCGUUAGCUCCGUUAGCUUAGCCCGCUAGCUCCGUUAGCUUAGCCCGAGCCACGUGAACGAGCCCGGGAGAAGAUGGCGAGCGUGCACGAGAGCCUGUACUUCAACCCGAUGAUGACGAACGGGGUCGUGCACGCGAACGUGUUCGGAACCAGAGACUGGGUCAGCCCCUACAAGAUCUCCCUCAUGGCGCUGCUCUGCGAAAUGACCGCGUCCAAAAUCUCUCUGCCGGAGCGGAGGCGGCUCAACAAGCUCAUCCUCCCGCUGCAGCAGGGUCCAGAUCUGAGUCUGGGUCAGUUCCUGAAGACUGUGGAGGAGUGCUGCCCUCAGACUGCAUAUGCUGUCAAACUCAAGCUCCAUGAAAUGGCCAACGGAGAGCUGAAGGACAUGGAAUACUUCUUUUACGACCUCCCCAAUCCGUACAUUGCGUUUGAUUCUGAGGCCUAUAAAACCAGCGUUGUGGGUCUUUUUAUGAGGCACAUGUUUCUGGCCUACGACAAGCUGUCUUUCAGUCAGGUGUACAAGCUGUACAAGUCCCUGCAGCAGUACUACCACAGCCACUACGCCAAGCCCAGCGACGGGCAGGUGGGUUUGCCGGCGCUGGUCGCUGACGACUCCGACAUGGACCUCACCAACCCGGAGGACGCCGUCGGGGACAGAAUAGACAAAGAGGAGCUGGACACCCCGCUGCAUGAGUCCGAGCUGAGAAACGACAACGCUCCCAGCAGAGGUCCCCUGUCACAAAAACAAGCAGAGUACUUUCUUGCAAGACAGGCUUAUCUCCUGAAGAACGACGAGAACAAAGCUCUAAAGCCCGCCGCGCUGCAGGAGGAGCUCAACAACAUGCUGAAGUUUAACCCAGAUUUUGCUGAAGCGCAUUACCUCAACUACCUCAACAGCAUGAGAGUCCAGGACAUCUUCCUCUCCGCCCACAGCCUCUUACAUUAUUUCGACCGCCUCAUCUUGUCUGGAAACGAGGGAAAGAGCAACGGGGACGAAGGCUACGGCCGGAGCCUCCGCUACGCUGCCCUCAACCUGGCGAGCCUGCACUGCCGCUUCGGCCACUAUCAGCAGGCCGAUCUGGCUCUGCAGGAGGCCAUCCGCAUUGCCCAGGAGUCCAAUGAUCACGUGUGCUUGCAGCACUGUCUGAGUUGGCUCUACACGCUGGAACAGACGAGAGGAUCUGACAGCACGGUGUUAACUGAGGACUCGGUGAAAAUGGCUGCCCACUUCUGCCUGCCAUACUUGGCGUCUCUGGGCAUUCAGUCUCUGGUCCAGCAGGGGGCGACGCAGGGUAAGACGGCCCACAAGCUGAUGGACGCGCUGAAGGACACAGACAUCCUGCACUGGAAGCACAGUCUGUCGGAGCUGAUCGAGAUCAGCCUGGCUCAGACUACGUCCAUAUGGAGGAUGUACGGCAAGAGCACCAUGGCUCUGCAGCAGGCCCAGCUGCUGCUCAACAUGAGCAGUCUGGAGCCCGUCAACUUCGGGGUCCAGCAGAACAACACGGAGGCGUUCGCCGUGGCGCUCUGCCACCUGGCCGAGCUGCACGCUGAGCAGGGCCUGUACGGAGCGGUGUCAGAGAUUCUCCAGCAUUUGAAGGAGCAGUUUCCUCCUCACUCACAGCACGCCAAGCUCUGGAUGCUGUGCGAUCUGAAAAUCCAGUUUGAGAGGCACAUGAACGAAGGGAAAUACCACCUGGCGGAGCCGCUGGUCACCGCCAUCUCUGCCCUAAACAAGACAGAAGGUCUCUACAGGAAAGCUCAAGUCCUGAAGGCCCUGAACCGGAGCACUGAGGCGUACAGCAUCCUACAGCGACUGCAGGUGCACUGUGAGAAGACUAAAUGCACAGAGGUCGUCAUCAGAGUCAUGCUUUCCACCGCUGAGCUCCACUGGGAGUCCUCCGGGUUCUCCACCGCUCUCCCUCUCCUCCUGCAGGCCUUGGCUCUGGCUAGACAGCAUCACCUACAGUCCCUGGCCUCAGAGACCAUCCUUCAUCUGGCCUUCACUCAGCUGAUGUUGGGGGUUCCCGAGCAGGCUCUCUGCGUUCUGCAUGAAGCCUGCAUCGAGCCCGUUCUGGCCCACGGAGCGGUCAUGGACAAAGGCCGAGCCCUGCUGCUGACGGCCCGCUGUCAGAUGGCGGUGGCUGGGUUCAGGCCAAACGGACAAGGGCAAGCAGAUUUGCGUUUGGCGGUUUUGGCUGUCGACACGCUAAAGGAGGCUGCGGCUUAUUUCUUCAGGCUGAACUGUAAGGAGCGUCUGCGGGACGUCCACUACCUGCAGGCUCAGCUGCACCGCUCUCUGGGUCAAACCUCACAGUGCAACAAAAGCGCCAUGCUCUUCCGGCUGCUGGACCAGGAGCUGCAGUCGCCGGCGCCACCGGUCUCCAUGCGGCUCUGACCUGCAAACUGGAGUCAUCUUCUGCUGGGAAAACAGACACAACACCUCCUCCUGAGGCACCACUAGAUGGCGGUGGCGAUCUGUCCUGCUCUGGAGUGUGUGUUUAUAUUUUGAAGCAGAGAGCAACAGUGGAAGACUGAUAAUGAGAGAGGACACAAUGUCGGUAGUCAUAAAUGAGGGCGGAGAAACAUUGCAGGGACGACCUGGGGAAACCUGACAUCCUUUCUUCUGCACGGCUGCACAAGCUCUUGGCCCGGGCCCGCUCACCAUCCACUAUGUUGAGUAUGAGUGCCAGCACCGGGCCGCUGGAGGGGGCGUCUGGGACGUGCAUGGUGUAUUCCCCGACGUUGAGCCUCAGAGGGUUCUCGUUCAGCACCGGCUGCAAUGUGGAGUUUCUCAGUCGUUAAUUAUUCAUUAUGUAACUCUAAAGAAAGAAGAACACAGCACACGACCUGCCGCCUGGAUGUCCUCGACGAUGCUCUGCGCCAUGGAGCCGUUAUAAAACACGUCGGGCCCCUCCUCGGCUAUUCUUUGCGUCAGCAGCCACUGCGGCCUUCGAGUAGAAGUGGUCCAAGGGGGGAGGCGUGUUUCUCUUCCCCAAGCCCAUGAACACCCCCAGGAACAGGCUCACCGCAGCCACCAGAAGGACCACCAGACCAGCAAUCAGGGACUUCCCAACCAUUUUCCUGCCGGGGGAAAAAAACCACCUCAAUCAGAGAAAAUGUGAGUUGUAGAGCGGCAGCUGUGCGUCUCUGACCUCCAUCCCGAACAAUUAAUAUCAACACACGAGUCUGUCUGGGUGGAUUUGCGUAGGUUAAACACACGUCUGGGCUCCUCUCACGGAGGGACAAAAGGUUUCACUCACAGGGAUCCGUUUAAUCAAUGAGCAAUAGUUUGAGUCUCAGCACAGAGCGGCGACGACAGGAAUACAGCAUCAGGAUGAGAUAGGAAAUAAAACUUUACAUGAAUAAUAAUGAGAGAAAGGAGCAGAAAGUUAACUCACCUUGUUGUUAGAUAGACAGACAGAAGACAGAAAGAAGAGAGUUGGUUGUUCGACUCGCUCUGUGUUUAGUGUGACCGGCUUCAGUCUCUGCUGAGGGAACAUUAUGUGUCAUGUUUUGGUUUUUAAGGUGUGACUGAGCCCCUGAUGAGCAGUGCUUUCUGGAUAAUAACGAUGUGCUUCAUUUGUUCAAAAAUACAGGCAGAGAAACAGACAGAGAGGAACCUGAGGGUCAUUGAGGUCAUUACAGAUCCUCUCCACUGUAUAAAGAUAUAUGUACUAAUAAUCUGCUGGAACAAUAAUGUGUCUGUAUAUUAAUAAAGAUGAUUUCCACAUUAAUAAUAAAGUCCUUCAUGGAUUUUGUGGCCUUUUUUGGGGGAUUGUUUCGGCCCAAAAUGCCCGAUGUCACUGCAGCUUUUAUUAAAAAUUCAGAUGCGUGUUUCAAUGUUUUUUUAGGCAUUUGGUAUUUCAACUUGUUCCAGUGAGAAUAAAAUCAAACUGUGCACAGCUGGAAACCAGGAAGUGAGUUUGCAGGAAACUACAAUGAGCAGAAAAGUUGCAGUGAUUGGAGAAAAGUGAAAGGUAGCUCAGAUAUUCCUGCAGGGACAUUAAAGGCCAUAUUGUUUGUAUGCUUCAUCUGUUUAAAAUCCUAUAGUGUUCUAUUAUUCUAUUUGUUGAUGAUUCAUCACAUAAUGAGGAAAAAGUGAAGAAAAAGGAAAUAUUGGGUCCGAGUAGCUGUCUGUUCACUCCUGUCUCUCUUUCCCUCCGUUGUUUCUCUCCACUGGAGGUUCCUCCGGUCGCUGUCUCACCUCCCUGCAUCUCACUGUGGCUACAAGAGGCUGACCUGUCUCUCCUCUCUGUCUGUGUGCUCUGUUUCUUUUGAUGGGUCGAAACCUGAUCCGUAAACUUAAAUGACGGAGGAAAGAGUCGAGGUGUAAACAUGGAUGUUACAAUGUUUGCCUUUAGAUUUUUAAUAAAAUACACCAACAACAACAAAA